rnacentral:SRP_RNA from 1 species
GCCGUGCGUGGUAGCAUGUGCCUGUAGUCCCAGCUACUUGGGAGGCUGAGGUGGAAGGGUCGCUUAAGUCCAGGAGUUCUGGGCUGCAGUGAGCUAUGCUGAUCCGGUGUCCGCACUAAGUUCCGCAUCAAUAUAGUGACCUCCCGGGAGCGGGGGACCACCAGGUUGCCUAAGGAGGGGUGAACUGGCUGAGGUCGGAAACGGAGCAGGUCAAAACUCCCGUGCUGAUCAGUAGUGGGAUCGCGCCUGUGAAUAGCCACUGCACUCCAGCCUGGGCAACAUAGCGAGAUCCUGUCUCA